CCAGUGACAAAGUUCCAUUUAAAAAACUGUUUUGGACAACACGUGGUACCAAUUACACUAUAACAGCAAUAAACUGUGCCAGAUUGUGCAGUUCAGCAGGAACAAUGACUUCUCCCACUUCCAUGUACGACUUUGAAUGUAUGCACCACAGUAUUCCCUAGUACCAACCCACAA